rnacentral:rRNA from 1 species
CAGCAGUGGGGAAUAUUGCACAAUGGGGGAAACCCUGAUGCAGCGACGCCGCGUGGAGGAAGAAGGUCUUCGGAUUGUAAACUCCUGUUGUUGAGGAAGAUAAUGACGGUACUCAACAAGGAAGUGACGGCUAACUACGUGCCAGCAGCCGCGGUAAAACGUAGGUCACAAGCGUUGUCCGGAAUUACUGGGUGUAAAGGGAGCGCAGGCGGGAAGACAAGUUGGAAGUGAAAUCCAUGGGCUCAACCCAUGAACUGCUUUCAAAACUGUUUUUCUUGAGUAGUGCAGAGGUAGGUGGAAUUCCCGGUGUAGCGGUGGAAUGCGUAGAUAUCGGGAGGAACACCAGUGGCGAAGGCGGCCUACUGGGCACCAACUGACGCUGAGGCUCGAAAGUGUGGGUAGCAAACAGGAUUAGAUACCCUGGUAGUCCACACUGUAAACGAUGAUUACUAGGUGUUGGAGGAUUGACCCCUUCAGUGCCGCAGUUAACACAAUAAGUAAUCCACCUGGGGAGUACGACCGCAAGGUUGAAACUCAAAGGAAUUGACGGGGGCCCGCACAAGCAGUGGAGUAUGUGGUUUAAUUCGAAGCAACGCGAAGAACCUUACCAGGUCUUGACAUCCGAUGCAUAGCUUAGAGAUAAGUGAAGUCCUUCGGGACAUCGAGACAGGUGGUGCAUGGUUGUCGUCAGCUCGUGUCGUGAGAUGUUGGGUUAAGUCCCGCAACGAGCGCAACCCUUAUGGUCAGUUACUACGCAAGAGGACUCUGGCCAGACUGCCGUUGACAAAACGGAGGAAGGUGGGGAUGACGUCAAAUCAUCAUGCCCUUUAUGACUUGGGCUACACACGUACUACAAUGGCGUUAAACAAAGAGAAGCAAGACCGCGAGGUGGAGCAAAACUCAGAAACAACGUCCCAGUUCGGACUGCAGGCUGCAACUCGCCUGCACGAAGUCGGAAUUGCUAGUAAUCGCAGAUCAGCAUGCUGCGGUGAAUACGUUCCCGGGCCUUGUACACACCGCCCGUCACACCAUGAGAGCCGGGGGGACCCGAAGUCGGUAGUCUAACCGCAAGGAGGACGCCGCCGAAGGUAAAACUGGUGAUUGGGGUGAAGUCGUAACAAGGUAGCCGUAGGAGAACCUGCGGCUG